GCAAGGAUGAAUUGGCAUUGUUAAUUCUGAAGAUUGAAAAUUAACAUCCCAUAAUCCUUAAGCUUUUUUGAACUAUUUAUUUAGUUGCUGUUCUUCUGCCUUCAAACCUCUUAUCAUGAUUUGAGCCUUCAAACUCCGACUGCAAUAAGAUACCUGAAUUUAUCACUCACCGUUACAUAUGUUUAGUUUCAAAUAAAAAUUACUGCGUUGGUUUAUUAUAGUGAAAAAGUUGAUGGAAGUGACAAAACGCUGAAGUUAGUUGCGGUCAAUUGCAUUCAGUUUUACAAACUUAGGACUGACUGUUUCUGGUGCUUAAAGUCUAAUAGAAUAGAUGGUAAAAACUCCCUACAAAUAUGAAGAAUUUGACAUAUUCUUAAGUGUAAUUAGAAUAGUGACGAUGAUGGAGUAAAUGAGUCCGAUUUCAUUUACUCCAAAAAAAGCUAUAAACUGUAAAGUAAUG